GCUAGUAAUCGCAGAUCAGCAUGCUGCGGUGAAUACGUUCCCGGGUCUUGUACACACCGCCCGUCACACCAUGGGAGCCGGGAAUGCCCGAAGUCAGCGGCCAACCGAAAGGAGGGAGCUGCCGAAGGCAGGCCUGGUGACUGGGGUGAAGUCGUAACAAGGUAUC
rnacentral:rRNA from 1 species